rnacentral:rRNA from 1 species
GACGAACCGUGCGAACGUUAUUCGGAAUCACUGGGCUUAAAGGGCGCGUAGGCGGGUCAUCAAGUCAGGGGUGAAAUACUUCGGCCUAACCGGAGAACGGCUUCUGAUACUGGUGACCUCGAGGGGUGUAGGGGCAUGUGGAACUUCCGGUGGAGCGGUGAAAUGCGUAGAUAUCGGAAGGAACGCCGGUGGCGAAAGCGACGUGCUGGACACCUUCUGACGCUGAGGCGCGAAAGCCAGGGGAGCAAACGG